rnacentral:lncRNA from 1 species
AGCAGUUACAUAAUUUAGAGAAGGAAGACUGACAGCCUUCAGUUACUCAGCCAGCCUGCAGUAAUGACCUUCAGGGAGGAAGCAGUGAAUCUCAUUCUUCAGAAGGUGAGAUUCCUCUUGUCUUCACUCCCAAACCAGAGGAGCCUAAACCUAUUGACACCAUCCACAGAGGCAACAGAGAAGGAUGGAGGAUGAGCAGCAAAUUGAAGACAUUUAGGACAUAUUGUCACAGAAAUGUCACCUCAAGUUAUCCAUUGGUCAAUAUUCACAUCUCACAGAUGGAUUCUCCCAAUUUAAAAUACUCACAAAAUAGUGAUAUUAUGAACUGUUCAAACAAACUAGGAUCUUAAUAAUCAAUCAUUUAGUCAGAAGAAUCCCUAAGCAUGUCAAAGAAUUGAAUGCUAUCCUUCAUAUAGUGCCAGAUCUGAGAUAAGAAAACAUUUAACCUACAAUCCAGUGUGAAAUAUUCUCAUUUUAGAGGAAAACAGAAAUCCAAAAUGCCAAAUGCAAUUUAGGCCUUCUUGCAAUAUGUAAUGUUUCUUGAUAGUUGAAGAGAUGAUAGAUAGAGAUAAAAAUAGACGUAGAUAAAGAUAUUUAUCAAAGCUAGAGUGGUCAGAAAGCAUAGAUGACAUGUUGGAAGUGCCACUGAAACAUAGGUGGAAUUUUAAAACUUUAGUCCAGUUCCAUUUAAUUCACCACGGGCAUUGGGUUUAAUAAUAUAUAAUAACUCUAGGAAUUAGAGAUGUUUUCCUUUCUUCAUUCGAAUAUCUUUGUAUUUAAAAUUCUAUACAUGUUUCUAAUAAUUUUAUCUUUUUUAUAACAUUUAAAACAGUAUUAUUAUAACAUCCUUAUUUCUAUCUCACCAAAACAAAUUUGAUUUAAAUAUAAUUGCAUAGAGCCUUUAGAAGUCUGAAUUGUCUGCACAACUGCAAUCAUCUUAUUUAUUUGCUAAUAGUGGAGAAUAACUGUUAUGAUGUAAAUACACUUUUCAAUAAGUUAAAAAUUGCCAUAUUAAGCAACAUGAUUUUAUAAGUUAAAGUACAUGGAAUGGAAACAUUUGUGAACAGUGUUAAAAUUUGUAUUGUCUACUUAAAAAUACUUUAUAUUAUCUUUACUUUGUAACAGAUGUUAAUAUAAAUAUGUUACUAAACUAAAUUGUAAUCAGAUUCCCCUUGAAGUAGAAGAGAAAGGUCUAUUUGUUUUUACAUGAAAUAAUUCCAAGGCAUUGUGAUUUUGUUCUUAUAUCUACUUUCAGUAGAUUUUUGACCUUUGUAAGCACUUCCAGGCCAUAAAUUAUCAAGUCUCCUUGUCAACCUAUCUGAUUCUUGUGGCAGUCACCUUCUUCACAGAUUAAUUUUACCCAGUCUAGUCAUGCAUUCAUUCAUUUACCAAUAAUUACUGAGUAUCUUCUAGUGCCCUGAUGGCCUAGUGGUUAAGGUUCUGGUGUUGUCACUGCUGUGGAUCAGGUUUGAGGCCUGGCCCAGGAAUUUCUGUAUGCCAUGGUUGCAGCCAAAAAAAUAAAUAAAUAAAUUAUUGAAUAUCUUCUAAGGAAACUUCAAGAAGACAAAUUCAAUCAGUAUAAGUGAGAUUUUUAACAAAAUUGUCCAAAGAUAAAAUAAACUGCCUCAAAAUAUAGUAAAAUUCCCAUUGUUGAAUGUGUGGAUAUGCUGGAUGACCAUCAGAAGCAAUUUUGCAGAAUAGAUUUAGUAUUACAAAACCAUGUUAUCAAAAAGGCAAAUUUGUGAUAUUUUACAAACAUGAGAUGCUGUAAUUCUAACUAUAAUUGUCAAAAAAAUCUCCCUAACUGCCAUAGGCUUAACCCAUUUUACCAUCUUUUACACUGGAAUUAGUGAUGCCUAUAAUAGAACUAUGAAAUUGCUUAUUCCUUGGUUUUCAGCUACUUCAGGGAGGAAUGGUUCACAAGUUAACACCAUGUUCAGAAGUAAAAAUAUAAUGUAUGCUAUUUCUUCAAGAACUGUUUCAUAUUUGUCUUACUCUGUAAAUAAAUCCAAAUUAGUUUGCUCAAUAUUCCAUACCAUAAAAGCAGAAUCAAGAGCAAUAAUGGUUUUGUUUUAUUCAAAUCUAAGUUAAACUCUCCAAGAAUCCCCCAGUUAGUUUAAUCACGGCUUGGCACAUCCACAAAUCUUUGGUUGACUGUUUAGAAGGUCAUAAACUUCCAUUUUCUCUACUUGUUGAAAGAUGCAGCUUCUUCUCCCACAAAGUUUUCUUAUUCAUUAGCUUGUCAAAGUUAAUGGAUGCAUGACUAGCCCUAAGAGUGAAAACAAUAUAGUGUGUAAAACUGGUCCUUUACUUGUUGUGAGCAGCUAGGAAACCAUUGGUUGGACUCAAUAUAGGAUCAUUCAUUCUACAAAUAUUUGCAGAGCAUGUGUUAUGCUCCAGGCACUCUUCUAUCAUAGGCAAUGCAUCUGUGAACAAAACAGGCCAAAAUUUCUGCCUUGAAGAGUCUGGAUUCUAUGGGAGGAAAGGAGGCAGGAAAGAAAUAAGAAAAUUUAUUUAAUUUAAUAUAUGCUACAUAAUAAUAAGAGCUAGAGAGAAAAACAUAAAGCAGAAAAAGAGAAUACAUGCAUGUGUCUAUGUGUAUAUAUUUGGGAGAAAUCAAAAUUUUAGUUAGGCUGGCCAGGAUAGAUCUCACCAUAUUUGAGGAAGAGCAAGGAAGCCAGAGUGACUGGAACACAGGAAGUAAGGACACAUUGUUAAAUCAGGUAAGAUUUCAGAAAUCGGAGGAAAAAAAUGUGUGUUUUUAUAAAAAAUGAGAUAAGAAGCCACCGGAGAUUUCUGAAUGGAGGAAAGUUGUGAUCUGGCUCAUGUCUUCACAGGUUCACCUUUGCUGCUCAGUUGAGAACAGAUUAAAGAGACAAGAGAUGGAAGCAGGAAUAUGGGUUAGUAGAUAGAGUAAUGACUCAUGAGCAGGAUAAUGGUACUGGGAUGGAGGUCGUGAGAAGUGGUUGAAUUGUCCCAGAUAAAUUUUGAAGGCACUGCUGACAGAUCCAAUGUGAAGGAUGAUUGUAAGCGAAGAUGGCACCAAGAUUUUUGGCCUGAACAAGUGUAAGGAUAGAGUUGCCAUUGAUAAUACACAGGGACCUACAGCUUAGUUUGAUUGACAUUGAGUUUUUAAUGUCCAAGCUCCAAGAUCCCACCAAAAUGAAAGUAAUCCAAAAUGCAUUUCAGCAUAGUGUAUGUUGUAAUUUAUUAAAAAGUUGCAAAUGAGGCUCAUGUAAUAUAAUGGGUAGUAUAUACUCAGCAGGGAGAAAUAGAUAAUGGCUAUGUGAAAUUUUUAUAAUGAGGCAAUAUGACUAGUGAUCUUUACCUUGAAAUGGAAUUCAGAGCAUUGCCACUAAAUUGAAAUGGAAUUCUGAACAUUGCAGACUAAAACAAUUAGUUAAAAUUAGCUGUUUUAAAUUCCAAAUUAUUUACCCACAUAUUUGACUGUUUCUACUGUCUAAUUCCCAGCAUUCCAUAACUAUGCCUAGCAACUGUUAACAAAAUAUAUACAUCACUGAAUCUUUGCAUGAACUCUAGACCAUAUAUACCAAAAAAAAUCCCACUGUGCCAUUCUUGGCUUAAAUUAAGGACUAACUCUGAGAGAUCUCAUAACUACAAUAGUCACUUUUCUGAUUGCAUGACAUGCCAAGCCACUUAAAUGGCAUGUGUAAGGUAAAUAAAAUCAAUUGCAAAGAGGUUUUGGUUAUAAUUUGUUAGCUGCAAAGCAUACAGAAGAUUUGGUUGAAAAGUAUCUCAGGAGGGGAGAUCUUCAACCAUAUAUUGUAAUGGCAUUGUAUUUCUUAUCUCUUGUGAAAAUUUAUCAAAAUAAAUCUGGCAGUCAGGAUCAUGGUGAUCCCUCUUCCUUUGGAGGAGACAUGCGAUCUUCUUUUCACUGCUUUGGGCUGCUUACAUGAUGCUAGUUAUUAAUGACACACUCAGGAUUAUGGUGACCACUCUCCACCUCCUCCAGCAGAUGUAGCCAGACUAUGGCAAAACAAAACAACAAAUACAAGGGUAUAAUUCUAUUUUGCAAACAAAACAGUAGGUAUUAACUGCUUCAAAAGAUUCCGUAGCCUGAAACUUCUCUCUAAAAUAAAUGCCUACAAAUGCUAUGAUUGGUUAAGUGAUAAUGUUGCUUUAAAUGAGAUUACUUUCUAGUGGUGUCCUUCAUGCAUAAAUUCCUCCACUGGCUACCUGGGCCUGAAGAUGUCUGGGGUUUUAAAAUUAUUAUUAUCUCUCCAUUUAUUUCGUUUUUUGUAUUUCACUUCUAAAGAAAAAUUACCUUUGUAUCUUUUGGGGUUAAAAUUGAUUCACUUUUUCACCUUCCUAAGCAUGUUUCAUUGAAAUACAAUAUUGAUAUAUCUCCAUGAGGGAGUUUAAUCUGCCCUCUCCAAAUUAAAGCGAAAAUAGGAGAUGAUGCUGGGUCUUUAUAAUGUCCCUUCUGACUCACUUUUCCUCACAACCAUGAAUAAAAAAUUUUUCUGAAAAAGCAGUUCCUAUAUAUAUCCCUGCAUGUGUAGACCCAAGCAGAAUAUUCAUAAAUAUGUACUGGGCUCCCACUUGAUGUGAGGUGUUAUGUUAGAUGUUAAGGUGAAUACUGCAAAGUAUUGAAAUGCCUCCUGUCCUGAGAGAGCUCCAAUCUGCUGGGAAUUCUGAGAAAGAUAAGUCAAUUAUGACAUUACAAGGGCAGUCUGGGCACAGGUAAAGUGAGAUUAAAUCCAAAGAGAUCACAGUUUAUUUAGAAAGCAUUAUAAUAUUUUAUACACUUUCAUGUUUUGUCUGCACAAUAGCUCUUUGCUCUGAUUAGAGCAUAAGUUACUACCCCUAUUUGACAAAUGAAGAAACUAAAUCACAGCAAGUAACUACAGGUAUUGGCAGAGUAACUACAAGUAGAAACUCAGUUCGUGAAUCUUAAUCUGUCUAUGUUUUUUAAGAUAGGUGUACAGAAAAUUCCCCCAGGACUCAAACAGCGGCCCUUUUACCUUCACUUUAUAAGUUUUUAGUUAUUAUUAGAAUCUGAAGCAAUGCUAAAUUGUAUCUUAGUUUCAGUUCCCGGGGAAACAUAUCCUGAGGCAGAAACACAUAUGCAAAAGUUUGAUGGGACGUGCCCUUGGAAACAUCUAUAAAGGAGUGAGUGAGAGAAACAAGAGGCAGAGGCUGAAUUUAAAUGCAGUGGCUAUAGGGAAUUCUGAUGCUCCAUCUUCAAAGCUGCCCCCACCCCAUCGAGGUGACAGGGUUGGGUCUUUAUACUGCCUUAUUUACCAGUCAUUGAAUAUAAGGUGCUCUGGAGAGAAAAUGAGACUUGGGACAGGAAACUACCUGCUCCCAGAGAGGUAUUCAGCCAGUAACCAGUUACAUAAGAAGUGAGUGAACUUUCCAGAAGUGGGGGUCUAGGCAGUGUAUCACGCCUCCACCCCAACUAGUCAGGAGAGGCUAAAUGAUGCUAUACAGACAAAUUAAGCUCAAAAUGCCAGUGGCUUAAAUGACAAAAUGUAUCCCUUGCUCACAGAAUAUACCCAGCGAAUGUCAAGUCAAUGACCUAGUGAUCUGUGCUGCUCCUUCUUGUGUCUUCAUUUCCAGCAUGGUCUCCUCAGUUAUGCAGGGGCUUUCACUGCAGCAAUCUGAGACUGACAGGUCACUUCUACUCAUAGCUUAGAAGCCAGAAUUAAUCACAGGCUCUUUAAGAGGACUGGGCAGUGUGUGCUUCCUUGUACCUGGGAAGGAGAGAAACAGAGAAAUAGCAAUAUGAGAAGUAUCCAUCUACUCUUUUUGGUACCAAGUUAAAUCACACUAGAACAGUAAAACAUCAACCUACCAGUCAAUAAAUAUGUACAGAUUACAUUUUAUGUAACAGUGCUACAUUAGCAGUUUUAACAAAUAGUAAUAGCAGAACAACAAAGCAUGAAAUAUCUGGAUGGGGAAAAGAUAAUCACAUUGGCAAAGUAAAGAAAGUUAUUCAAGGCAGUACAUGAUUGAGACCUAAAUUGUGACUGUUGACGUUAAAUGCUAUAAGAAUGUGGGCAAGAGAUAUCAAAGAGAGGAGAAGUCAGAAAAGAUUUCAUAAAAAAUACAAAAAUUGAAUUGGGCCCUGAAAAUUGAAAACACUAUGGAAAAAAACAGCAAUUUUCCUCCAUCAUUAGAAUAAGGUCUACAUCAUAACCAAUCUAAGAACUUUUUCAAUGGUCCUUUCUGAAAAUCUCACAUUCUCAAGGAUAUGCUACCAUAAUUCAUGCAAAAUAUUCCCUAACAUGAGGGAGGUUGCUGUCGUGGCUCAGUGGUUAACGAAUCCGACUAGAAACCAUGAGGUUUCAGGUUCAAUCCCUGGCCUCGCUCAGUGGGUUAAGGAUCCGGCAUUGCCAUGAGCUGUAGUGUAGCUCGCAGACGCAGCUCGGAUCUGGCGUUGCUGUGGCUGUGGCAUAGGCUGGUGGCUACAGCUCCAAUUCAACCCCUAGCCUGGGAACCUCCAUAUGCCGC